rnacentral:rRNA from 1 species
UGGGGAAUAUUGGACAAUGGGCGAAAGCCUGAUCCAGCAAUGCCGCGUGUGUGAAGAAGGCCUUAGGGUUGUAAAGCACUUUCAGUAGGGAGGAAGGUUGUAAUGCUAAUACCAUUGCAAAUUGACGUUACCUACAGAAGAAGCACCGGCUAACUCUGUGCCAGCAGCCGCGGUAAUACAGAGGGUGCUAGCGUUAAUCGGAAUUACUGGGCGUAAAGCGUGUGUAGGUGGUUAGAUAAGUUAGAUGUGAAAUCCCCGGGCUUAACCUGGGCAUUGCGUUUAAGACUGUUUAGCUAGAGUACUGUAGAGGAUAGUGGAAUUUCCAGUGUAGCGGUGAAAUGCGUAGAUAUUGGAAGGAACACCAGUGGCGAAGGCGACUAUCUGGACAGAUACUGACACUGAGACACGAAAGCGUGGGGAGCAAACAGG